rnacentral:tRNA from 1 species
GGAUUAGCUCAGCUGGGAGAGCAUCUGCCUUACAAGCAGAGGGUCGGCGGUUUCAGCGCCGAUGGUAGUCGGGGGUUUCCCCCUGUGAGAGUAGGACGCCGCCAAGCCA